rnacentral:rRNA from 1 species
CCUACGGGGGGCAGCAGUGGGGAAUAUUGCACAAUGGGCGCAAGCCUGAUGCAGCCAUGCCGCGUGUAUGAAGAAGGCCUUCGGGUUGUAAAGUACUUUCAGCGAGGAGGAAGGCAUUAAGGUUAAUAACCUUAGUGAUUGACGUUACUCGCAGAAGAAGCACCGGCUAACCCCGUGCCAGCAGCCGCGGUAAUACGGAGGGUGCAAGCGUUAAUCGGAAUUACUGGGCGUAAAGCGCACGCAGGCGGUCUGUCAAGUCGGAUGUGAAAUUCCCGGGCUCAACCUGGGAACUGCAUUCGAAACUGGCAGGCUAGAGUCUUGUAGAGGGGGGUAGAAUUCCAGGUGUAGCGGUGAAAUGCGUAGAGAUCUGGAGGAAUACCGGUGGCGAAGGCGGCCCCCUGGACAAAGACUGACGCUCAGGUGCGAAAGCGUGGGGAGCAACCAGGAUUAGAUACCCGGGUAGUC